UUGUCAAGUAGGAUAAUCCCUACAUGUUCCUCCUUUUGGAGGGCAGAUUGGAACAUGAUGACGGGAGCUAGCAGGACUGGUGUUCAGUGUCUCUGUACAGUUAGGACUCUGAU